GUGCUCGCUUUGGCAGCACAUAUACUAAAACUGGAACCAAACAGAGAAGAUUAGCAUGGCUUUGCUCAAGGAUGACUUGCAAAUUCGUGAAGCAUUCCGUAUUUUU
rnacentral:snRNA from 1 species